rnacentral:rRNA from 1 species
GAUCCUGGCUCAGGACGAACGCUGGCGGCGCGCCUAACACAUGCAAGUCGAACGGAGUCAAGAGGAGCUUGCUUUUAUUGACUUAGUGGCGAACGGGUGAGUAACGCGUGAGUAACCUGCCCUGGAGUGGGGGACAACAGUUGGAAACGACUGCUAAUACCGCAUAAGCCCACGAUCCGGCAUCGGAUUGAGGGAAAAGGAUUUAUUCGCUUCAGGAUGGACUCGCGUCCAAUUAGCUAGUUGGUG